GCCUGGGUGGCUUAGUCGGUUAAGCAUCUGACUUCAACUCAGGUUACGAUAUCCCAGUUUAUGAGUUCGAGCCCCACAUCGGGCU
rnacentral:tRNA from 1 species